rnacentral:rRNA from 1 species
AUUGAACGCUGGCGGAAUGCUUUACACAUGCAAGUCGAGCGGCAGCACGGGGGCAACCCUGGUGGCGAGCGGCGAACGGGUGAGUAAUACAUCGGAACAUGCCCAGUCGUGGGGGAUAACACUUCGAAAGAAGUGCUAAUACCGCAUACGUCCUGAGGGAGAAGGCGGGGGAUCUUCGGACCUCGCGCGAUUGGAGUGGCCGAUGUCAGAUUAGCUAGUUGGUGGGGUAAAGGCCUACCAAGGCAACGAUCUGUAGCUGGUCUGAGAGGAUGAUCAGCCACACUGGGACUGAGACACGGCCCAGACCCCUACGGGAGGCAGCAGUGGGGAAUUUUGGACAAUGGGGGCAACCCUGAUCCAGCCAUUCCGCGUGAGUGAAGAAGGCCUUCGGGUUGUAAAGCUCUUUCGGCAGGAACGAAACGGCGAGCUCUAACAUAGCUUGCUAAUGACGGUACCUGAAGAAGAAGCACCGGCUAACUACGUGCCAGCAGCCGCCGUAAAAC